GACGAAGGGGGCUAGCGUUGUUCGGAAUUACUGGGCGUAAAGCGCACGUAGGCGGCCUUUCAAGUCAGAUGUGAAAGCCCCGGGCUUAACUCGGGAAAUGCAUUUGAUACUGUUGGGCUAGAGACCGGGAGAGGAUAGCGGAAUUCCCAGUGUAGAGGUGAAAUUCGUAGAUAUUGGGAAGAACACCAGUGGCGAAGGCGGCUAUCUGGACCGGUACUGACGCUGAGGUGCGAAAGCGUGGGGAGCAAACAGG
rnacentral:rRNA from 1 species